rnacentral:rRNA from 1 species
UACGGAGGGUGCAAGCGUUAUCCGGAUUCACUGGGUUUAAAGGGUGCGUAGGUGGGUUUGUAAGUCAGUGGUGAAAUCUCCGUGCUUAACAUGGAAACUGCCAUUGAUACUAUAGAUCUUGAAUUUUCUGGAGGAUAGCGGAAUAUGUCAUGUAGCGGUGAAAUGCUUAGAUAUGACAUAGAACACCAAUUGCGAAGGCAGUUAUCUACAGGGAUAUUGACACUGAGGCACGAAAGCGUGGGGAUCAAACAGG